UGAGACUCUGUCUCAAAAGAAAAAAAAAAAAAAAAGAUGAGAUCCUUCUCGGUACCUGUUAUGCUCUGAUUAUGUGGGUUUACAAGGCCACAGGGCAGAAUGGUUUCAGAUGCCAGCUGGCUUACAUGGGCCUAAGGUUGCUUGAAGGGAAAUCUGGAUGGGUGGUGGCACCAGACUGCAAAGCAUAUGAGUGUGAACAGACAUGCAAAAGGCCAUCCAGCUCAUCAGUACCCCAUUCCACCUGGCCUCUCAUUGCUCCCAUGCUGACCCUGUUGUGGCUGAUAUGGGGAGGAAUCUGUGCUGCUGAAGUGCCCGGGCCACAUGCACUGUGGGAGUGUGGGCUGUGCUCUUCGUUAACAGAGCUGGCCAUUUGGAUAUGUGUUUUUGAAGACUGUCUCUCGCUGAGCCUGUGUAAUCAGGCACCCCUGUGACUCUAUAAACCUCUGGCUGAGGCCAGAGAGGAGGUGCCCCUUUCUGUUGGCCAAAAGAGUGACCUCAGGGAGGGUGGAGCGCACCUGCCUCAGGUGAACAGGGAAUGCAGGAGGCAGAAUGGUGUCUGUUUUCAGUGCAAGGUGACUGGGUCUGUCACACACCACCAAGUUGCUUUCAAGGUCAAGGGGACAGUCAUCCUCCUCUGUGGAGCCUGGAGGAGCGUGGAAGCCCUAACUCCAGAGGGAGAGGGGGCUAAGCAGCCCUGGCUGCCUGUUUUCCUGGAAAGCAACUCAGGCAAUCCCACAGCCCAGAGCACUGGCGACGAAACCAGGGUCAGACAGGCCUGGCUUUUUGGAGGCUUGGCUUGUAGUAGUGAAUUUGAUAUUUUUGGUAAAUCCCAGCUUCUUCCGUUUCUGAGGACUCAGGAUUCUCAGGAGAGAUCUGUCUCCCGGUUCACCCUGGCUGAAGUUCCUUUUCAAUUUCAAUCCCACCCAGUGCCCAUCUCCAAUGCCCUGGGAUGCAUUCCUCACUGGUUGUCAUGGAAGCUCCAGGUGCUGAACACCUUUUGCAUUUUUCUCCAGCAGCUGCUCAGCUGGGGCUGGGGAGAGGAGAGAGGGAACUCCCCCAGGAAGGUGAUGGCCAGGUUUGGGCUGCUGUUGAGCUGGAACCCUCUACUGUGGCUGCAUGUACAGGCAGAUGAACCCUGGAAACUCAGCCUUCCAGGAGCCCCAGGGCGUGGGGCCUGCACCGUGUGGACGGUGACCCAUGGUGUCACAUGGAGCUCAGUGGCUCACCAGGUGCUUCCCAGGGCAUUAUGUCAUUGAUCUUCCCAGCAACGCUGUGGAGAAGCAGGUAUCAUGUUUCCCAUUUCACAUGAGAGAAAACUAAGGCUCAGGAAGAUGAAGUGCAUUUCACACUACUGCUCAGUGGCAGAGGUAGGGGGAAGCCUUGAACAGUCCCUCUCCAAAGUCCUGAUUUAUAACAAGCAGGCGGUGACAGAUGUAGGGUUUGUGAUUUGAAAUUCAUGUCAUUUUCUCAUCUAUCAACUGCCCACCCAGCUACUAGCAGGAAAAGAGCCAGGCCCCGUCACCUGUGACUGACCUUCUCUCCAUGAAAGGAGACAGGGAAGGCAGGGACCAUCUGUGAUGGCUGUGCUCCCCACUCAAGCCCACUCGGCCCUCACAAGCCAGGCAGGUGCGUGGGGAUGGUGUUUUACAGGUGAGGACCUCUGAAGGCUCAAGAAGGUGAAGUCCUUUGCUCACAUCACAUGUCUAAUGAGAGCCACAGCUGGGGUUUGUCCCAGCUGCCUGAUUUUAACAUCCUUGCCUUACUGCUUCCAGGGCUAUUGUGAGGAUUAAAUGAAAUGAAUGAAGUAAGUACCUAAGAGGAGAAAAGUGAGAGGCAGAAGGCUAAACAGAAAGGUUUUGAAAGCAUGUAACACAGAGCCUAGAUCUUGAUGGGAAUGUUAUAUACCUGUUCCCUUGACUGUAAGAUAAAAUAGUAUCCCCACCUUGUAUUAGCAUCCAACUCCCACCCUAAGUACAGAAGGCAUGUACUCCCGAGACAGAACCAAUCCCAUAGAUACAGAUACAGACAUAGACACACAUAGACAUAGACAUGGAUCUGUACAUACCACACACCCGGGUAUGGGCAGUGCCUUAGAAUGGGAACAUUAGGAACUGAAGCUGCUGGGCUUGACUCUGCCUCUCAGGAAGUGGCUGGGUGACCUUGGGGAAAUAACUGUGUGUCUCUGGGCCUCUGUUUUUUCACAUGUAGAACAAAGAGCUUCUAGUCCGGACUAGACUAGAAGACACAGCCUCUUGGAAGGGACCUUGCGAAUCUCACACCCCAUCCCCUUCAUGAGGAAACUGCCAUCUGGAGAAAGGAAAUGGCUUGUCCAGAUCACAGAGCUAUUUUUAGUGGCCAAGUAAGCACUAGAACUAGAUCUCCAGGCCCAACUCUGUACUCUGGCAAGAAAUCCCAGCCCUUAUGAGCAAUGGCUCUUGGAGCACAAUGUGCUGAGAGGAACUCUGAGAAGACAAGGGGGAUGCUGUUCUUUUGUUCCACGUGGAAAUGGCCCUUGGCCCUACCAGAGAUUGGCAAACUUUUACUGUGCAGGACCUGGCAGUAAAUAUUUCAGUCUCUGUUGCAAAUACUCAGCUCCGCUGGCGAAGCAUGGAAGCAACCAUAGGCAAUACACAAACAAACGAGCAUGGCCAUGUUCCAAUAAAACUUUAUUUAUGCACUCU